rnacentral:rRNA from 1 species
GCUUUUUUCAAUCAUCGUAGCUUGCUACACCGAUUGAAAAUUGAGUGGCGAACGGGUGAGUAACACGUGGGUAACCUGCCCAAAAGAGGGGGAUAACACUUGGAAACAGGUGCUAAUACCGCAUAACCAUGAUGACCGCAUGGUCAUUAUGUAAAAGAUGGUUUCGGCUAUCACUUUUGGAUGGACCCGCGGCGUAUUAACUUGUUGGUGGGGUAACGGCCUACCAAGGUAAUGAUACGUAGCCGAACUGAGAGGUUGAUCGGCCACAUUGGGACUGAGACACGGCCCAAACUCCUACGGGAGGCAGCAGUAGGGAAUCUUCCACAAUGGGCGCAAGCCUGAUGGAGCAACGCCGCGUGAGUGAAGAAGGUCUUCGGAUCGUAAAACUCUGUUGUUAGAGAAGAACAUGCAAGAGAGUAACUGUUCUUGUAUUGACGGUAUCUAACCAGAAAGCCACGGCUAACUACGUGCCAGCAGCCGCGGUAAUACGUAGGUGGCAAGCGUUGUCCGGAUUUAUUGGGCGUAAAGGGAACGCAGGCGGUCCUUUAAGUCUGAUGUGAAAGCCUUCGGCUUAACCGAAGAAUUGCAUUGGAAACUGGAGGACUUGAGUGCAGAAGAGGAGAGUGGAACUCCAUGUGUAG